rnacentral:rRNA from 1 species
UGGGGAAUAUUGGACAAUGGGGGAAACCCUGAUCCAGCGACGCCGCGUGGGUGAAGAAGGCCUGCGGGUUGUAAAGCCCUUUCGGUUGGGAAGAAAAGUUGCGACCUAACACGUCGCGACCUUGACGUAACCAACUAAAGAAGCACCGGCUAACUCUGUGCCAGCAGCCGCGGUAAUACAGAGGGUGCGAGCGUUAAUCGGAAUUACUGGGCGUAAAGCGCGCGUAGGCGGCUUGGCAAGUCGGGUGUGAAAUCCCCGGGCUCAACCUGGGAACUGCAUUCGAGACUGCUUUGCUAGAGUAUGGGAGAGGGAAGUGGAAUUUCCGGUGUAGCGGUGAAAUGCGUAGAUAUCGGAAGGAACAUCAGUGGCGAAAGCGACUUCCUGGACCAAUACUGACGCUCAUGUGCGAAAGCGUGGGGAGCAAACA